GCAAGUCGAGGGGUAACAGGGUGCUUGCACCGCUGACGACCGGCGCACGGGUGAGUAACGCGUAUAGAACCUACCUUUUACUGAGGGAUAGCCUUUAGAAAUGAAGAUUAAUACCUCAUGGUAUUGAAACUUGGCAUCAAGAUUUAAUUAAAGAUUUAUUGGUAAAAGAUGGCUAUGCGUUCUAUUAGCUAGAUGGUAAGGUAACGGCUUACCAUGGCAACGAUAGAUAGGGGUCCUGAGAGGGAGAUC
rnacentral:rRNA from 1 species